GCAAGUCGAACGAACCUUCGGGUUAGUGGCGGACGGGUGAGUAACGCGUGGGAAUCUGCCCUCAGGAGGGGGAUAACGGCUGGAAACGGCCGCUAAUACCCCAUAUGCCGAGAGGUGAAAUGAAUUUCGCCUGAGGAUGAGCCCGCGUCUGAUUAGCUAGUUGGUGGGGUAAAGGCCUACCAAGGCGACGAUCAGUAUCUGGUUUGAGAGGACGAUC
rnacentral:rRNA from 1 species